CCUACGGGAGGCUGCAGUGGGGAAUAUUGGACAAUGGGGGGAACCCUGAUCCAGCCAUGCCGCGUGUGUGAAGAAGGCCCUCGGGUUGUAAAGCACUUUCAGUGAGGAAGAACGCCUGGUGGUUAAUACCCAUCAGGAAAGACAUCACUCACAGAAGAAGCACCGGCUAACUCCGUGCCAGCAGCCGCGGUAAUACGGAGGGUGCGAGCGUUAAUCGGAAUUACUGGGCGUAAAGCGCGCGUAGGUGGCUUGAUAAGUCGGUUGUGAAAGCCCCGGGCUCAACCUGGGAACGGCAUCCGGAACUGUCAAGCUAGAGUGCAGGAGAGGAAGGUAGAAUUCCCGGUGUAGCGGUGAAAUGCGUAGAGAUCGGGAGGAAUACCAGUGGCGAAGGCGGCCUUCUGGACUGACACUGACACUGAGGUGCGAAAGCGUGGGUAGCAAACAGGAUUAGAUACCCUUGUAGUC
rnacentral:rRNA from 1 species